rnacentral:rRNA from 1 species
AUGUCUUCCACUCUUCUUCCUCCUCUCUUCUUCUUCCUGCUCUCUUCCCCAUCGUCGGCCGCACACCAUUUACCCCCGCUCACUGCCCGCCCGCCCGCGCCAUCUUCCUUGGACCUGGAAUCAUACCAGCCGAUGGUACCAUAUAACUGGAAUUACCGAUGCAAGUCGAAGAAGGAUUGGCCGGUGCUGCCGGCUGGCGCCAAGUUCGAUCCCACGGACCAGGAGCUGAUCGAUCACCUUGAGGCCAAAGUGAGUGCUGACAGCGCGAGAUCUGACCCUCUCAUCGAUUUGUUCAUACCAACCAUCGAUAGCGAGUACGGCAUAUGCUACACCCAACCUGAGAAACUUCCAGGUAUCACACUGAGUGGCCUAAGGAAACAUUUCUUCCAGCACAAUUCUAGGGCAUUCAAAAGGGGCACGUGGACGCGUCGCAAGAUACAGUCGGAGUGCGGCAUGCACGCGAUGUGGCACAAGACCGGCAAUACCUUGCCGGUGAUGGUCAAUGGUCGGCAGACGGGCAGCAAAAAGGUUCUGGUGCUGUACACCAACAAGAACAUCGACCAUUCCCACAAAAAAAAGAAAAAAAGAACUUGGACCAGCAGAGGACCAACUAGGUCGAGCAAGUUUCAACUGGGCUGUAGACUGCCCAGGCUUGGUUUUGUUUUUAGCAGGCCCAGCCCAUGA